rfam:Aedes albopictus isolate Foshan contig40573, whole genome shotgun sequence.
GGCUCGGUAGCUUAGCUGGUUAAGCACUUGUUUAGCUAAUAAGGGUCGUGAGUUCAAAUCUCACCUGAGCUG